AUACGGAGGGCGCAAGCGUUGUUCGGAAUUACUGGGCGUAAAGGGCAGGUAGGUGGUCUGUUAAGUCUUCUGUGAAAAUCCGGGGCUCAACCCCGCGAAAUGCAGGUGAAACUGGCAGACUUGAGACCGGUAGAGGCUAGCGGAAUUCCUGGUGUAGCGGUGGAAUGCGUAGAUAUCAGGAAGAACACCUGUGGCGAAGGCGGCUAGCUGGGCCGGUUCUGACACUGAACUGCGAAAGCGUGGGGAGCAAACAGGAUUAGAAACCCCGGUAGUCC
rnacentral:rRNA from 1 species